CAGGGAUCUCGUCCACAACCUCUGGGACGGGAUGGAAGCUGGCCACGGAGCGCGACCUGCCUCCUCGCCGAGACGUCAGCGCCACAUGACGGCGUGCCACAGCCACCUGCGUCACCACGACCCGGCGCUGUCACGGCCUCCCAGGCAAAAGGAUGUGGCUCCUCACGCGGUCGGUCAGUCGAGCCCUCGGUGGAAGGGGACCAGGUUUGGAGACUGGGUUCAUCUCUGCCACAUGCCACCCGGGACUGGAGCCAGAGAGAGUUUGAUCUUACGGGGGACAGCAGUACCAGGGUUCAGUUUUCCCAGGUGAGCCCACUCCUGCAGAACAUCCUUCCCACGGAUGCAGAGGCCAGUGCGUUGCCAGCAGAUCGCAUUGCCCCUGCGGAUGGAUGAAGUCUGCCCAGAUGCCUGUGCU
rnacentral:lncRNA from 1 species